CAGGCCCCAGCGCCCCCCACUCCCAACCCCCCGGCCUGCUCUCCUGCCUCCCUCGUGCCACCUCCUUGGGCUGCGUUUCUCUUCCCUCCUCCGAGUUCCCAGCCAUCCUCUCACCCCCACUCCCCAGCCCCUCCCCCUCCCUCCCUGGGGCCGCCGCCAUCUUGCAGGAUGCUGGGGAGGGAGCCGCGUGCAGGCAAUGGGAACAAUGCAUCUUUUAUGAAGCGAUCCCCUCUCCUUGCCUGGAAACCUUGCAUUAAUGCGGCAGUGAUUUCUCUUGUAAUAGAGGGGGCUCUCCCGCGCCCCCAACCCGAGGGGCGCAAGAAGGGAGGGGGCCAGGUUUGGGGGCGAGGAGGGAAAAGUGGAGGGUGAUGGAGUCAUCGCUCCGGGCUCCCAGCUCUGCAGCCGGCGGCCUCCCCGCGCCCAGCCUGGAGACCCCCACCCCACCCCGCAGGUGGAGGUUCCCAGAGUGGGGGAGGGGUUCCGGCGCGAGGCCCUCUAGUAAGUUCUGGGCUGAGACCCAGCCACAGAGUCCCGGCCGAUGGGACCCCCACCCCCCUAUUCUCAGCCCUGGCAUUGGCCAGAAAGGGCGCAGGAGACCCUCGGCUGCCCCUGGGGCCCGCUGUCUGCGGCCAGGUCCUCUGGGACACGUGUCCCCCCCUCCCCCCAGAACCCUCAGAGGUUCCCCAUCUCCUCCAAGCCCUGUUUCCUUCCCCUCUUCUCUUCCAUCUUGCCGCCUCACUCCCAUCCUUACAGCUCCUGCCUCCCUCGUCCUCUCCUGGCUCCCCCUUUCCCCUUCCCUGCUGCCUGCCCCCUCCCUCCACACCCCCUUCCCUGCGUGCUAAUGGCCCGGUGGCAGGCGGCUCCGUGGCUGUUUCUGGGGGAGGCGGGUUUGCAGCCAGGGGAGAUGUUGGAGCGGUUUGGUGAGGGGGAGGAAGAAGAAUUAUACAUACGUAAAUCUGGGAUAAUGACGGUGCUGCUAAUGGGGCGGGCGGCGGCAGUUCCCCCCAACAAACCCACACCCCAUCACACACACUCAGGGACCAACCUGGCUUCCUGAGGCGUUUGAGGGUCCGUGGGCCCCGAUCAUCUCCUUGACUGGCCCUGAACCAUCCCUGCUGCAGAUAUGGGGUCCAUGCUCAUUUGUGACAUCAAUGAAACAUCCCCCUCCAGCCCCCCAAUUCAAUUUGUGGCUUGCCACUUUGCUUGCCCUGUGGCCUAGGGGUGAGUAGUUACCCCAGCAGGACAGGUGUGUUCACUUGGGUCUUUUACGCCACCACCAGCCUGGACCCCCCACUCUUCUAGGUUUUCUGAGGUCACACCACCCACCACAUGACAUCUUUUGCAUAACUGAAGGAAGGUCAGACGGAUUUUCUUACCCUUUCUCCAUUUCAUAGCUGUGUGACCUUAGGCAAGUUAACCUCUCUGAGAUUCAGUUCUCUCUACUUGUAAUUUGGGAAUAAUUAUGUUCAAAGAACCUGAGGCUGAGGUGGGAGGAUCACUUGAGGCAAGGAGUUGGACACCAGCCUGGGCAACAUAGCCAAACCCCUGUCUCAAAUUAAAAAAAAAAAAACUUUUUGAAAAAAUAAGUCAAGUUAAGGGCCAGGCACAGUGGCUCACACCUGUAAUCCCAGCACUUUGGGAGGCCAAGGCAGGUGGAUCACUUGAGGUCAGGAGUUCAAGACCAGCCUGGCCAACAUGGUGAAACCCUGUCUCUACUAAAAAAAAAAAAGUACAAAAAUUAGCCGGUAUCGUGGUGCAUGCCUGUCAUCCCAGCUGCUUGGGAGGCUGACGCACGAGAAUCCCUUGAACUGGGAGGCGGAGGUUGCAGUGAGCAGAGGUCGCACCACUGCACUCCAGCCUGGGCAACAGAGCAAGACCCUGUCUCUAAAAAAAAAAAAAAGAACAUGAAUUCACCCACUUCUUUCCACUUUUGUGCUUCCCAACUCCUUCAUCACUUGCCUGGAUUUACUGAGGUUGCCUUGGCCACAGCCUCCUGGCUUCUGCCCUGGCCUCCAUCAUCCGUUUGUUUCGGCCUCCCAAAGUGCUGGGAUUACAGGUGUGAGCCACCGCACCUGGCCAAAAUUUAUAAACCUUGACUCUUAUUCUCGGUGUGUCCCACAAUACCUGGCACCUACUAGAUUUUCAAAUAUGUGUUGAAUUAGUGAAUUAAAUAAAUAAUGUUGUGACUAUGUAAGGAUAUAACUGAUGUAAAGUUCUUGGCAGGUCGCCAGCAUUCAAUAAACCAAGAUGCUGGGCACAGUGGCUCAUGUCUGUAACCCCAGCAUGUUGGGAGGCCAAGGCAGGAGGAUAGUUUGAACCAGGGGUUCAAGAGCAGCCUGCACAACAAAGCGAGACCCUGUCUGUACAAAAAUUACAAAAAAAUUAGCUGGGUGUGAUAGUGUAUACCUGUGGUCCCAGCUAUUCGGGAGGCUGAGGUGGGAGGAUCACUUGAGCCUGGGAGGUUGAGGCUACAGUGAGCCAGGUUCCUGCGAUCCAGCCUGAGUUACUGAGUGAGACCCUGUCCACAUCCCCACAAGAGGUAAACUUAUGUUCAUCAAAAGACAUGUACAAGGAUGUUCAUAGCUGCUUUAUCUACAAUAACCAUUCACUGCAAACAACUCAAAUAUCUAUCAGCAGUAAGAUAAAUACAUUGUGAUAUAUCUCCACAAUGGAAUAUUAUACAACAAAGAAAAAGAACAGGAAAACAGACAUGACAAUAGAUUCUCACAGAUACAAUGUUGCGUAAAAGCAAGAUGCCAAACCAUGUAUUUCCACUUACACAAAGUUCAGGGGUGGGCAAAACUAAUCUAUGAUGAAAAUGUCAAAUUGGAGGAUAUUGACUAAGAAAGAGCAUUUGGGAAUUUCCUGGAGGGACAAAUAUGUUCUUCUGGUCUGCAUGGUGGAUACACAGGUAUACAUGUGUAGAAAUUCACCACGCUGAAAUUUAUGAUUUGUGCACUUUACCAUAUUCAUUAAAAAAAAAAAAAAAGAGGAAGCCAGUCAUGAUGGCUUCUGCCUGUAAUCCAAGCUACUCAGGAGGCUGAGAUGGGAGGAUCGCUUGAGGCCAGGAGCUCGAGACCAGCCUGGGUAAUGUAGUGAGACCUUGUCUUCAUUAAAAAAAAAAAAAAAAAAAAAAA